UACGGGGGGAGCAAGCGUUGUUCGGAUUUACUGGGCGUAAAGGGCGCGUAGGCGGCCACCGCAAGUCAAUUGUGAAAUCUCCGGGCUUAACUCGGAAAGGUCAACUGAUACUGCGGGGCUAGAGUGCGGAAGGGGCAACUGGAAUUCUCGGCGUAGCGGUGAAAUGCGUAGAUAUCGAGAGGAACACCUGCGGCGAAGGCGGGUUGCUGGGCCGACACUGACGCUGAUGCGCGAAAGCCAGGGGAGCGAACGGG
rnacentral:rRNA from 1 species